CCUACGGGAGGCAGCAGUAGGCGAGCACGACUCCUACGGGGAGGCAGCAGUGGGGAAUUUUGGACAAUGGGCGAAAGCCUGAUCCAGCAAUGCCGCGUGUGGGAAGAAGGCCUUCGGGUUGUAAACCACUUUUGUACGGAACGAAACGGUUCGCUUUAAUACAGUGGGCUAAUGACGGUACCGUAAGAAUAAGCACCGGCUAACUACGUGCCAGCAGCCGCGGUAAUACGUAGGGUGCGAGCGUUAAUCGGAAUUACUGGGCGUAAAGCGUGCGCAGGCGGUUAUAUAAGACAGUUGUGAAAUCCCCGGGCUCAACCUGGGAAUUGCAUCUGUGACUGUAUAGCUAGAGUACGGUAGAGGGGGAUGGAAUUCCGCGUGUAGCAGUGAAAUGCGUAGAUAUGCGGAGGAACACCGAUGGCGAAGGCAAUCCCCUGGACCUGUACUGACGCUCAUGCACGAAAGCGUGGGGAGCAAACAGGAUUAGAUACCCUGGUAGUCCACGCCCUAAACGAUGUCAACUGGUUGUUGGGUGCAUUAGUACUCAGUAACGAAGCUAACGCGUGAAGUUGACCGCCUGGGGAGUACGGCCGCAAGGUUGAAACUCAAAUGAAUUGACGG
rnacentral:rRNA from 1 species